AAGUCGUAACAAGGUUUCCGUAGGUGAACCUGCGGAAGGAUCAUUAAUGAUUUGGCGAACCUAACGUUAGUUAGGCUUUGCGAUCACUUAUUUAAAACCCAACUCUUAAAUGUAUAAUUAUAUUUCUUGAUAAAAAAAUAAAGAUCACUUUCAACAACGGAUCUCUUGGCUCUC
rnacentral:misc_RNA from 1 species